rnacentral:rRNA from 1 species
CGGACGGGUGAGUAACGCGUAAGAACUUAGCCCUCUAGACUGGGAUAACANAGGGAAACUUCUGAUAAUACUGGAUAAGUUAGUAUAUCGCAUGAUAUGCAAAUGAAAGCUACGGCACUAAAGGAGAGCUUUGCGUCCUAUUAGCUAGUUGGUAAGGUAAGAGCUUACCAAGGCGAUGAUAGGUAGCCGGCCUGAGAGGGUGGACGGCCACAAGGGGACUGAGAUACGGCCCUUACUCCUACGGGAGGCAGCAGAG